rnacentral:rRNA from 1 species
GACGAACGCUGGCGGCGUGCUUAACACAUGCAAGUCGAACGGUGAAGCGCCUUCCUUUUUGGUGGGUGUGGAUGAGUGGCGAACGGGUGAGUAACACGUGAGUAACCUGCCCCCUUCUUCUGGAUAACCGCAUGAAAGUGUGGCUAAUACGGGAUAUUCUGGGUCUGUCGCAUGAUGGGUCUGGGAAAGAUAUUGUUUCGGUGGGGGAUGGGCUCGCGGCCUAUCAGCUUGUUGGUGGGGUGAUGGCCUACCAAGGCGGUGACGGGUAGCCGGCCUGAGAGGGUGGACGGUCACACUGGGGCUGCGACACGGCCCAGACUCCUACGGGAGGCAGCAGUGGGGAAUAUUGCACAAUGGGCGCAAGCCUGAUGCAGCGACGCCGCGUGAGGGAUGGAGGCCUUCGGGUUGUGAACCUCUUUCGCCAGUGAAGCAGGCCUGCCUCGUUUGUGGGUGGGUUGACGGUAGCUGGAUAAGAAGCGCCGGCUAACUACG